AAGAGAAGUCAGGAGACAAGGAAAACUGCUAAUUUCCCCCAUCCGUAGUUCGACUCCACGGUUCUCUUA
rnacentral:tRNA from 1 species